CUUACGAAACUUUCUUCUUCCCCACUUUUUUGGCUGUCCCUUGAAAUCCCCAAGCAUCAUUCAUCUAUUUUAAUCUUCAUUACUUCAAUUCCUUUGAUUUUCAUCAUCCUCCAAGUAAUAAACCUCCAUAGAAUUCCAUAAGGAGCACCAAAAACACCAUUAAUUUUGCUAUUAUUCAACUUGUGAGUUUUCUUAGAUUUGCACCAAACCUUCAUUUUCCCUAACCAAGAUCAAGAAAAGAGGAAUUCAGACGACUGAGGGAAGUCGAAGAUUGUAGAGUAAACAGUCCGAGUCGACAAUUCCAAGUACGAGAUAUGGAAGCUACUGCAAGCUCGAGGAUCGUCAAGAAUCAUCACCACACUAUCGAACCUCAUUUUGGUACUUUUGAAAAUGUAUAUUUUUAAGUAUGGCAUGUAUAGGCUAGUAGUUGUGGGAUUAUGUUUUGUGAUGUACAUACUUAGCCAUGUGAUUUGGCUAGUUGGUGUUUAAACUCAUAGUUGAUAAUGGCUUAUGGUAUGUGAUGUUAAUGUGCAAUUGUGGUAUGUUUUAUUUGGACAAAAAAAAUGGUAAAUGUUGGUAAGUUUUGAUAAGUUUAGCAUGAGAUUGAAUGAUAUAUGGAAGGAAAUGUUUUGGUA